GAGACCCUGUGAGAACAUACAAAGAACAAUGCUGCUGUCGAGAACUCGUGGAAUCUUCGAGGUAUCCAUCCUUACAUGGACAUAGACAAACAGAUGAAAAAAUAUAUAAAUAAAAAAUGUUUAAAAAUGGUAAA